rnacentral:tRNA from 1 species
UCCCUGGUGGCUCAGAGGUUAAAGCAUCUGCCUGCAAUGCAGGAGAAUCUGGGUUUGAUCCCUGGGUUGGGAA